UGGGGAAUAUUGCACAAUGGGCGGAAGCCUGAUGCAGCGACGCCGCGUGGGGGAUGAAGGCCUUCGGGUUGUAAACUCCUUUCGACAGGGACGAAGCUUUUGUGACGGUACCUGUAUAAGAAGCACCGGCUAACUACGUGCCAGCAGCCGCGGUAAUACGUAGGGUGCGAGCGUUGUCCGGAAUUACUGGGCGUAAAGAGCUCGUAGGUGGUUUGUCGCGUCGUCUGUGAAAUUCCGGGGCUUAACUCCGGGCGUGCAGGCGAUACGGGCUGACUUGAGUGCUGUAGGGGAGACUUGAAUUCCUGGUGUAGCGGUGAAAUGCGCAGAUAUCAGGAGGAACACCGAUGGCGAAGGCAGGUCUCUGGGCAGUAACUGACGCUGAGGAGCGAAAGCAUGGGUAGCGAACAGG
rnacentral:rRNA from 1 species